CCAGAGGAGAUUGAGCCCUUGUAGGGAGUGCGAAACCAGCAUGGAUCAGCACUCCAGAAAGGCUGUUGAAUUUUACUUUAUUUCUUUAUUUUUCUACCUUAUACUGAGUACCAUUUGGACCAACGGCUCUACAACGAUGAGCCUAACGCUUCCAAAUGCACGCAUGCAUAAAGCAUCAAAAACACCCGGAGCAGUGCUCCAGCAAACUGUAAGAGUGGUGAAGUGGUAGAAGUGACAAGAUUAUAAAUGCAAUCAGAGAUUCAGAAAGUGGAUGGGGGCCAAGUUCACUUUGGGCCAAUAACAUUAACUUUUGGCUGUAAGGAUAGAAAUGAUAGAUGCAGCAUUCUACAGUGCCCUGCCUCCACAGAGGUGUAAUCAGAAAACCCAUGUGAAUAACAUCCUGGGAAUACCAUUUACACCCAAAAACGUGGUUUGAAUCCGGGCCCUCUUAUCCGGCUAUACUAACCCCAGUUCACUCAAACUGCAUGGAAACUUUUGCAAACAGAUUACACAUACUUGUAUGUAUAUUUGGAAACAUGCAUUCCUGUCACCUCACUGUCCCCACUAUCCCUCCCUGUAAAGUGUGUGCUGAUCAGUAAUCCCAUUGGACUGUGAGCUUUUUUUGGGGGGGGGGGGGACUUGCUGUCGCUCUAACUCUUAAAACCACACACGGAUCUUCAAACAAUUAAUGGAAAUCCAACUCCAGAAAACUCCAGUAUCCCUCUCUGAUCCUUCCAAUAAAGAGGGAAAGCCGUGUAGUUUAAGAAAUGUUGCUUCCACAGUGUACCUAAAGAAAGACCCUACAACUUUUUAAAUGGAGAGGAAUCCCUAUGUGAAAUCAUGUUUAACCAAAUUGUUGGAGCUUUUCUUGAAGGAAUAUCAUGCAGGGGAGCCCGUUGACAUAUCAAACUUGGAAUUCCAGAAGGUGUUUGUCAAGAUGCUGCCAAAAGGAUUUUGCAAGAAGUCGAAGCAUAUUGUCAAUGAGGGAAUAUGAAGGGUUGCAAGUUAGCUUUCUUUCUUCUUUAAAGCCUCGUUUGCAGUGGCAUGGGUACUGACAUUGGCAAGAGCAGGCCCUGUGCGGAAUGGCAGAAUAAGAUGGUGGCACAGCCCUGGAAGCAGCGAGGCUGAGUAAAUGUUGAAGGAGGAGGUACCCGGCCGUGGUGGCAGCAAUGCCAGGACAUGGCAGAUCAAGCUCCAACCCAGCACGAGGUCUCCUUGGAAGCAAGGGGCAGGUCGCAGGUUUAGUCCCCUGGUCCGGACUCGCCAGCCGAGCCGAGGCUCCAAGUCCAUGGCUAGGCUCAGGAACUGGAACAGCUGUCUGAUAAUAUUCUAAUCCCGUUUAUGUUACCACAAAAGGAUAACUGCCUGUUCCUGCAUUCAAUACAAUGAAGCCAUGCGGAUAAAUUGGAUUCAAAGAUGGCCAGCUCCUGGGGUAGAAUCUUAGAAUCAAUACAGUGUGGAAGCAGGCCAUUGAGCCCAUCAAGUCCACACCAACCCUCCGAAGAGCAACUCACUCGGACCCACCCCCUACGCUAUGCCUGUAACCCUGCAUUUCCCAUGGCUAAUCCACCUAACCUGCACAUCCUGUACUCACUACCUAUUAGUAAAGAGUUACGUUCCUUAACAUCCCUUGUCCAAAAGAUGAUGGCUACAAUCAAUAUGUUGGUGCAAUGGAACAUCCUGGAGAUCUUACUAAAAUAGAGCUAUUUGAUGUUCAUUUGGUAACUUUUAUCCAGAUGGAGCAGCAAACUGUUCCCCAUACACCAAGUGAAUUUUCUCCUGUUCCAAAUCUAAUUUACUUUAUUUUAGAUCACUUGGAUAAGCAAGAUAGAUAAUCUAAUGGAAGAAAGGAAGCCAAUUCUGCAGAGAAAUAAAAGGAGAAUUCAAUUCAAAACUAAAAUAAUGAAGAAAAGUCUAAAGGCAAAGGAGAUAUAAGAUAGAACCAAAGUGGUGGGGGUGGGGGUGGGAGGCUGAUGCUGUUCAAAUAGGGGAAGGAAAUAGAUGAGAGAUUAAAAAUGAAGCUUCAGGUAUCUGGAUGCUUUCAUUUGAAAAGUAAGCGAACUGCCAGAAAAGAAGGCAUCAAUUUGAACAGUGAGAGAAAAGGGAACAAAAAUUAAUCCAGAUCAUAAUUGUUUCUGGGACCACAGAAAUAUUUUCAGACUCCAGAAUAUGUGGCCACGAUAGCAAGUGGUGUUUUUGUUUAAUGUUUAGAUUUUAUGAACAAAUUUUAACCUCUGUUUCUUCUCUUGGCACAUGUGCUGAGUUAAAUUACUUUUCACGUGAUAUCCACUAACCAGCAGUGAAGGAAUUCUCCUUCGUAUUAAAAACAAUACUGCUGCAAACUUCACUUGCAGACCCUCAGCAGGAUGCAAUCCCAUCUGUGGCUUUUGAUGUGGAUGUUACUUCUGCUGCCAAUUCUAAAUUGCAAUGCCAGCACUUUCUCCAUCAAUUCAUGUUGCAGUGGGGCCAGCAGCAUCAAAACAGCAGGUGGGACCAAACCCUGCUGAGUAGCACAACAGAAGCUGGCUCAGUCCCUUUUGGUCCAAGGGUCACGUAAUGGAUGUCCCUUGUCCAUCAACCAAAAGUGAAGAGAUGUUCUCAGACACACAGCGUUGGAAAUAGCUACAGCUGCAUCAUCACAAUAGAUGUUUAUGUCAGAAACACAAUAUUUCAUGUUUCAACUUCAAAUUAUAGGCUAAACAUUAUUGUUGAUGCUACUAGUGCAUAAUGACCUGUAUGAAAUCUUUUUUAUAAACCCGAAGAAUUGAGGGUGCUGGAAAUCAAAAACAAAAUCAAAAAUUGCUGGAAAAGCUCAGCAGGUCUGGCACAAAGCAAACUUAAUGUUUUGUGUCCAGUGACCCUUCUUGAGUAUAUUAUCAUUCUUGUUUUUACACGUCUCUUAGUACAAAAUACUGUCAUUAAAAUAGUAGAGAAAAGAAUUUGAUACAGGCUUGAUGAUAUUUUUUACACAUCAUUGACUAAUAUACAGUAAUUUAAGAAAAUGUUGCAGCAGCACGAGUGACAAAGGUUUGUACAUUGCCUACUCACUCUUUCAUGGCCCAUUUAAUUUGUGAUUCUGUAACUUACUAGUGAAAAUUUACAUACCACCCACUGAAUCCUGCGAGUAUAUUAACUCAGGUUAUUCAAAUUUUAUCUUAUUGCCUGAUCAUACCCUUCAUUCUCUCUGAGUGGAAUAAAUGGAGGCCCAGUAUCUCCUUGCAGCUUGAUCUGUGAACAUCCCCUCUGCCAUAUGAGCAGCUUGAGGCUGAGGAGAAGAUAAUUGCUGUCGGUGUUAUUUCCAUUCUUGAUCCUCAUUAGAGAUAGAAGGUAGAACUUCAUAAGCUGCUCCCAAGCUGUGUUGAAAGCUAGCAGCAGGGCAGAGUAGCUGAAGGGGAGUGAAGUACAAGGCAGGUGAAGUGUUUUCCAAGAAGUUGGCAAUCACCUGUCAAGCAGUAAAAGCGAUUUCCAGGAAAAUAAAGUGCUUCGACCAGGAGUCCCACAUCUGGCCAUAGCCAAAGCACUUCAGUUUCACAGUAGAUGCACUCCCUCCUGUGCAAUCGUUCACACUGGCAAGUGACUAAUAGGUCAGGAAAUAGGUGUGCUGACUGGUAAAGACAGAAUUGAUGGCAAGUGAUGUUGGGAUUCGACUUUUUUAUCAUUCCUUUGGAAUUUAGUUGCUCAUAUGGUCUGAAACCUGCCUCAGCUUGCCUGAAAAAACUCUUAAUUGGGUCUUCUGCUUUUGAAUUAAUUGGAUUAUUUCCAAUUCUAUGUGCUGUCUUGUGUAGAACUUUACUGAAUGCUUUCGAUAAGUCUAUAUAUAUUAACCCCAUAAGAACUCCCUUAUCUACCACGUUAGUUACAGCUACAAAAAAAUUUACCUAAGUCCGAUAGUUAUGACUUUCCCUUUAAAACUGUAUGAUGGCUUUCUCUGAUCAUUUCAUAUAGGAGCAGUAGGGGCUAGGAACUACAAUAGGCCAAUUAAGGUAGAGGUUAUAGGUGAAUGGUACCUGAUGUGGAUAAGAUAUGAACAGCUUCAAAACAGAUGGAGAUUUUGGAAGAUGGAGGGAGAAUUACCGGAACUGUUUUGGAAUCAUUGACAGCAAUUAUGUCAAUAGCCUAGUUGAUGUUUCAGUACCAAAUGGACUAUGAUAAAAGGAAGUAUGGAUGAUAUAAAGGAGUUUGGUAGUUUGUGAAAGAGAUAAUAAGAUUAGAAGCUCAGUGCAAUGUUAAAAAGGUUAUGAACAGUCUGGCCAUUGAAUGUAGACAGUGAGAGAAUGUUCCUCUUGUGAUAUCAGCACAAUUGGCCAACAGUACUAGAUUGCUGUGAAGCAAUCAAAAAUGGAACUUAACAGAAACCUCUUCAAGGGACAGCUGGGACUGUGGAAGAAGGAAUAGUUAAGGUGCGUAGUGCAGAUACAUUUAGGGACAAGCUAAAGUUGGAUGAGAAAAACAAAUGGAAAUUGCUUGAAAGAACCAUAAAUACCACAUUGACAGGUUGAAUCAAAUGGCCUGUUUCUGCGCUCCAUAUUCUAUGUAUAAGAAAUCCUCAUUUUAUGUUAUAUUUGUAUUCCUGAAUAAUGCAGUUUAAGUGAAACAACUUUAAAUGAAUCAUUAAUUCUAACAGGAAUCAAUAUUACAUGUUUUGUUAAAUUUCAUACGGUCUUCUAUAGUAGGAACAAAAACAUUAAAACAUUAUGCCUAA